GACGAACGCUGGCGGCGUGCUUAACACAUGCAAGUCGAACGAAGUGGCGAACGGGUGAGUAACGCGUAAUCAACCUGCCCUUCAGAGGGGAACAACAGUAGGAAACGACUGCUACUACCGCAUACUGACGACGGGGAUUGCGUCUGAUUAGUCAGUUGGAGGGGUAACGGCCCCCCAGGGCGAUGAUCAGAAGCCGGUCUGCGAGGAUGAACGGCCACGUGGGGACUGAGACACGGCCCAGUCUCCUACGGGAGGCAGCAGUGGGGAAUCUGCCGCAAUUGACGAAAGUCUGACGGAUCAACGCCGCGUGAGUGAUGACGGCCUUCGGGUUGUAAAGCUCUGUUAAUCGGGACGCGGUACCGGAAUAGAAAGCCACGGCUAACUACGUGCCAGAAGACGCGGUAAUUC
rnacentral:rRNA from 1 species